rnacentral:rRNA from 1 species
UACGUAGGGUGCAAGCGUUUAAUCGGAAUUACUGGGGCGUAAAGCGUGCGCAGGCGGUUUUGUAAGUCUGUCGUGAAAUCCCCGGGCUCAACCUGGGAAUUGGCGAUGGAUACUGUGGAGCUAGAGUACGGAAGAGGCGAGUGGAAUUCCUGGUGUAGCGGUGGAAUGCGCAGAUAUCAGGAGGAACACCAUAGCGAAGGCAGCUCGCUGGGACGUUACUGACACUGAGGCGCGAAAAGCGUGGGGAGCGAACAGG